rnacentral:rRNA from 1 species
AUUUUUCUCAAUGGGCGAAAGCCUGAAGGAGCGACGCCGCGUGGAGGAUGAAGGUUUUCGGAUUGUAAACUCCUGUCAUUGGGGAACAAUGCAACGGAGAGUAACUGCUCUGUUGUUGAUAGUACCCGAAGAGGAAGGGACGGCUAACUCUGUGCCAGCAGCCGCGGUAAUACAGAGGUCCCAAGCGUUGUUCGGAUUCAUUGGGCGUAAAGGGUGCGUAGGCGGCGAUGUAAGUUGGAUGUGAAAUCCCGGGGCUCAACCCCGGAACUGCAUUCAAUACUGCGUUGCUAGAGUACUGGAGAGGAGAUUGGAAUUCACGGUGUAGCAGUGAAAUGCGUAGAUAUCGUGAGGAAGACCAGUGGCGAAGGCGAAUCUCUGGACAGUAACUGACGCUGAGGCACGAAGGCUAGGGGAGCAAACGGG